UGAGGUAGUCGGUUGUAAAGA
rnacentral:miRNA from 1 species